AUGUGCUGUCAUUCCAGCCACUUCCCCACCUGUGUGCGAGGUGCGGGAUGGCUCCGAGAGUCCCUGCCCUGUGGGCGCAGGGCUGGAGCUGCCGCCUCCGCUUCAGACAGCUGUGUGGCUGCUGCCGCCCACAGGGCCGAGCGGGGAACGGCCCCGGUUACCUCACACAAAGGGAGACGGAGCUCACGAGCCUCCGGCUGCUUUCUUUCCUACAGGCUGUCGGUGCUGCCUGCUUUCUCCACGAGACACCUGUCCCUAACUGCAGUUGCAUACCUCAAGCAAGGCAAGGCACUGAGGGAUGGUCUCUCCUCUACUGGCUCUGUGGCACGAGUGAUAACAUGAGGAGAAACUGAGGUACAAAACCUCUGCGAUGGUCACAGGACCCCAGCUGGCAGCGAGGAGUAAAAAGUUGGGCUUUUGACUUGUUGGGUUGGUCCCUCCCUUCUCUGCACAAAGAUGGCUCCAGUGAUCUGCUCCCUUGUUUUCAGCAUCAACACACGAGUUUAUCGUUAAUGUUAGUGCUCUUGCCAUAGGAGCGUGGAAACCCACUCAUUAUCUGGAGCUGCACAAGGACACAACAGAAAGACGACUGCUGCCUUGCGGAGCCCUCAGCCGGAGCUUUCCCAAUGUCACGGUGCGCUCAGCAGCCGCCACACAACUCUUGUCCAGGCUGCCUUGCUGUUGCUUCAGGCUCACCGUUUACACAAUACCAGAGAGGAGAGUUUGGAAGGAAAAAGCUUUUAAAAUGGAACUGUUUAUACCCUCUGAUUCAAACUUGGCAAUAUUCAGCUUGGCCACUGUUCACUUCCAGUACUUCUGGCCUACAGGUGAUGUUGCCCAACUUUUUUUAGGCAUACAGAUCUUAAAUAUCCCAUUGUGCUACUGAGGUCUUCAGCACAGGUACACGUAUUUUUGCCUUCCUUCCGAAAAGAGCAUUUCCCAUUAAUAUUGCCACUAAAAAACAAACAAACAAACAAAAACACCUUCAACUUGCAAACUGGCAUGAAACAGAAAUGCUGCAGUGGAGAUUUUUGCCACAUCUUUGUAGAUAUUAUGAACUUAGCUUCUGAGACUGUUGAUUUGAACUCCAAUUAAUUUCUGUAAAGACCACAAAUCAAGUCCUGUCAUAACCAGAGAGCAUGGUGUGCUAUCAUUAUUGCUGGAGUCUGAAUGAACCUGAAAAGGGAGGUGAUCAAUCCCAGCAUAAUUGCCAGUGUCACCAAUUAAUUGUUCCUGAGCGGCCGAGGGCCUUUUACACUGGCAGUCUGUCAGUCUCAGAAAUUGCAAGGCGAUGCGGCAGCCCUCUGGUGGGAUGAAAACACCUUUUCGAGCAAACGUAAAUUGUUGGCAGCGGGCUUUGCUUUUAACGUAUUGCUGAACCGCUCUGGUUUUGCCAUGCAGGCAGAGGUUCCCUGCUCAGCCUGAACCUUCCCAGCACGGCCAGGAUCAGCCUGCACCAAGCCCCACUUCAGCUACCUGUUUAAGCAGGUACUUAGAGCUAAGCAGGUGCUUAACUCCCGGUGAAUUCAAAAUUAGUCGGAUACUUAAGGGCUUAAUGUAGAAAUUACCCCAGUAAAACCCAUCCUUGCUCAGGCCUUAAUCACACAUGUUGCAGGGGAAGGCAAUCAUGCAGGAGCAGCACCUGGGCUGCUAGAAGAUUAUCACAGUCUGCACUCUCCAAUCAAAGAAAACACGGCAUAUUAUUUAUAGAAGGUUUUAAAAAUAUUUUUAUCACUUUUUAGAACGAGGGCUGGCCUGAGCACGUUAGUAACUGUGAAGUUAAUUCCAGCUAAUUGGAGUUAAUUCCAGCACUGAUCUCUGUGGGCCUCUGUGUCUCCACCUGUACAAUGGAGCCACAUAAGGGGCCGUCUGUGGAAGCAGUUUCACUGUAACCUGUUACUCUCUGUAAGCUCUUGGUUUGAUUUGCAUUUAACCUUUUUCCUUCCUUCUAUCUGCUGAACACAAAUCAUUCGUGCCCCAGGCUUACGGAGCCAAGGUCACUUUUUCAUAACAUGACUGUUUAAAAAAACUCAAAUCAUGUCAUGUGGCAUCAAUUUAAACGCAGUUCCCAGCUAAUUAGUCCAGUAAAGUAUCUAUAUUUGCAAACAAAGAAUAACUAUGAUAUUAUCCCAGAGGAGAUCUGCAAAGGAAUUUGGGGAAUGCAAAUGUUGAUAAUGGUAGUUCCUGUGCUAUAGUUAGCCUGAGCGGCCAGACGGCUGCCCUGAAGCAGACCCCUCCGGGUGCCAAGAGCUGCACACAGGACAAAAGACGCAGAUCCCAUUGCAGGGGGAGAGGCCGGAUUCUGAUGUCCCCAUCCUUUCUCAGUCAAAGUUAUCACAGGGUAUUUCCCAAAGAAAGACCAGGAAGAAUCCCAAGAAUCUUAAAUAGAUGAAGACUGGUAUGUUUAAUUUCUUUUUCUGAGAAAAGGCUGUAACUCUUCCCCCCCGCCCCUUUUUUAACCUGUGCCUGAGUUGCUAACUAACCAAAUUUAGUUUGGCCUGGUUGUGCAGAUAUACUCCCAGUGGCAUUCCUUACAACACAGAUGCUUUGGGGUAUCUUGAAGAACUGUCUGUUUUUAACACUUGCCAUUCCUCUGUCUUGGAAAGGAAAAACAACCUCAUUUCUCUUUAAAAACAAGCAAACCAAAACCCACCACUACUAUGCCAACCCCGAUAUCUACUGUUUUGGCUUUGUUUGCAUGGAGCUUUUACUUCAUAACGCAGAUUUUUAAAAGCACAGAAUAAGCUGCCUGUCCCAAAUGACCAACAGUACGGUGUCACUUUGGUUAGGCUGUGUUUCAGGAAGCAUGCAAACAGCCCGUCAGAUUGAAGUAUUAUCAACAUCAGCACUAUUUUUAGUGGACUUGGAGACUCUUGAGGGUGAAACAAGCUUUGUCAUAGAAAUGACUUUUAAAAAGGCAAAUUGUGAAGUGGUUUUGGUUCUUUUUGCUUUUUCUGGAGCCCGUGUCCUACAGAGCUCAGAGGCACUGGCUUUCAGCUCUGCUUGCUCUCUGAGCCCACCCAGCAGUUACUGGAAAGUCAAAGGUCUGGGAUGGCUAUGAAUGAAGCGAGCGAGUGGCCCAUCUUAAUGACAAGGGUAGAAAUGGGAAGAAGUAUUGCUUGAAAGAGACCCGGUAGCAAGCUUUCAGUAUGGCUUAAACACUGCUGCUGCCAUCGUGGCUGUACUCACUUGGCUUCUGCUCUUGUGGGCUGAAUGUAGACAUGAGCCUCUGCAAAAGGUUUGUUUCCAGCUGCAGGCAGCCUAAGAGUCUCAGCCUGGUGCUCCUUAAUCAUCUGUUGUGUUGGAAUGAGAAAAAACCACUGUGUGCCCUUGCAGGAUGCUCUGGGUCCUGAACUUGAAGUCCUGCAGCACUCUCUCCAUCCUGCACUGGUGCUCCCAGGCAUCUCCUUCCCUCCUGUCCCGGCUCUGUAGAUGACCCCAAUAGGAGCUGACACCCUCCCGACGGCCACAUCACUUCUGUUUAAGGCACUGGAAGCUGAGCGCUGACUGGCAGUGCUCCCCCUGUUCCCUCACGAAGCCUUCAGUAAGGAAGUCUCCAGGCGAAACAAAGCGGUUCGAAGAGGCUCAGGAUUCACCGUGUCCGGUUUCCUUACAGACAUUGCAUCAGACAGCUUUCUGGAGACUUGGUUUAAUUAUACAAAUCUAAGGUGCUACUAAUCGCUUGACACCUCUCUGGUCUUUAUACGUGAAAUGGGACUCAAAGCAGGGAAAUUGUUGGCAUGCAUGAGAGCACAUUUAGUAUCCAAUUUCCUCUGCUGGCUAGAAAACACGACAAGAUGGUGCUCCUCAGCGUGAGCUGGAGCAAAGGUGCCACAGAUACAUGCUACCAUUGCUUCCUUCCCCUAGGGCAGUGUGAUUUCUGGUAGAGCUUUCCACUGUGAAGUGCUUUGCACAGAGAGGUGAACAUGGGCUGAGGAAGAAAUGGAGUGCUGUGAAAAGAUGCCCGGAGUGGCCAAGGCACCUCCUUACCCCAGACUAGCGGAGCAGCGCUACAGCCGAGUCCUGUUUGUGCCCUGGCAUGUAAGAGCAUAGAGAGGAGACGAGAGUUGAUGAACCUUUUAAUUUUAUUUUUAAUAAUAAAUUUUAUCUUACCUGGUAGAGCUGCA
rnacentral:lncRNA from 1 species